GACGAACGCUGGCGGCGUGCUUAACACAUGCAAGUCGAACGGAAAGGCCCUGCUUUUGUGGGGUGCUCGAGUGGCGAACGGGUGAGUAACACGUGAGUAACCUGCCCUUGACUUUGGGAUAACUUCAGGGAACUGGGGCUAAUACCGGAUAGGAGCUCCUGCUGCAUGGUGGGGGUUGGAAAGUUUCGGCGGUUGGGGAUGGACUCGCGGGUUAUCAGCUUGUUGGUGGAGUAGUGGCUUACCAAGGCUUUGACGGGUAGCCGGCCUGAGAGGGUGACCGGCCACAUUGGGACUGAGAUACGGCCCAGACUCCUACGGGAGGCAGCAGUGGGGAAUAUUGCACAAUGGGCGGAAGCCUGAUGCAGCAACGCCGCGUGCGGGAUGACGGCCUUCGGGUUGUAAACCGCUUUCGCCUGUGACGAAGCGUGAGUGACGGUAAUGGGUAAAGAAGCACCGGCUAACUACGUG
rnacentral:rRNA from 1 species